rnacentral:rRNA from 1 species
UGGGGAAUAUUGGACAAUGGGGGGAACCCUGAUCCAGCCAUGCCGCGUGUGUGAAGAAGGCUUUAUGGUUGUAAAGCACUUUAAGCGAGGAGGAGGGUACUGGUAUUAAUACUACCAGCUACUGGACGUUACUCGCAGAAUAAGCACCGGCUAACUCUGUGCCAGCAGCCGCGGUAAUACAGAGGGUGCGAGCGUUAAUCGGAUUUACUGGGCGUAAAGCGUGCGUAGGCGGCUAAUUGAGUCGGAUGUGAAAGCCCCGGGCUCAACCUGGGAACUGCAGCCAAAACUGGCGAGCUAGAGUAGGGCAGAGGGUGGUGGAAUUUCCUGUGUAGCGGUGAAAUGCGUAGAUAUAGGAAGGAACACCAGUGGCGAAGGCGACCACCUGGGCUCAUACUGACACUGAGGUGCGAAAGCGUGGGGAGCAAACAGG